rnacentral:SRP_RNA from 1 species
CGCGCCUGUAGUCCCAGCUACUCGGGAGGCUGAGGUGGGAGGAUCGCUUGAGUCCAGGAGUUCUGGGCUGUAGUGCGCUAUGCCGAUCGGGUGUCCGCACUAAGUUCGGCAUCAAUAUGGUGACCUCCCGGGAGCGGGGGGCCACCAGGUUGCCUAAGGAGGGGUGAACCGGCCCAGGUCGGAAACGGAGCAGGUCAAAACUCCCGUGCUGAUCAGUAGUGGGAUCGCGCCUGUGAAUAGCCACUG